GGGCCCGUAGCUCAGCUGGCUAGAGCGCUUGCAUGGCAUGCAAGAGGUCACGAGUUCAAAUCUCGUCGGGUCCA
rnacentral:tRNA from 1 species